rnacentral:lncRNA from 10 species
AGACCAUCACGGACGCCGAGCUUCAGGUGACUCUCACAGUGGAAGGUCCAGGAACUCACUUUUUAUGGUUUCUCUGGGGUCCCCUUUGGCUAAGAGAAGGUCUGUUCAGCAGACAGACCUAGGCACUGCCCUCUUCCCCAAGCCAGCAGGAAAUAAGCACACAGCAUUUCUACUUUCCAUAUCUAAUCGUGAUGUUUAGGCUGACAGCAAAAGUGCCAGGUACUGUCAGUUGUGAUCACAGUCACCAAACUGGAGAACAUGGACUGAGACCCCGACAUUGACCAAACCUGAGACUGAGACAGCAGCUGCUUCACAUCUCUACCACACAGAUGCAGAUGCAGUUGCAAAGCAGUAGUACUCGGGAGUGAAAGGCAGUCAUGCUCCUCUGGUUCAUCUCGCAUCCUGUGUUGUCCACAUUGCACCCCUGUCCCUUUCCAUUUAUCACGCCAGUCUUGACAAAGAGGCAUGCUGUUUUUUUCCCUGCUUUAACCUGUUUCAGAAAUGCUGACCUUGCGAAGGUAAGUAAUUCUCACAUCUUUUUCUUAACAUUUAAUUUUUUUUUUAUUCCAGCUGACAGAGCGAAGUGUUAGGUACAAACUUAACAGAUACUCAAAUUAGUUGUUCCUAAAAUAAUUUCUUGCUAAUUGGGCAAUUAUUUUAUGUUAUAUUGAUGGGGGGAAAGGAUACAUGGCACUUCAAUUAUAGGGUAAAAUAAUAAAAAAAGUCAAUUAAUACUUGACUUCAAUAUUCUUUUAUAAAACAACCAGGGCUGUGUGUGUGUCCUCUUCAUCCCCGCUCACACCCACUGUAGGAUGAAAAAUAGGGGAAUGGAGGUGUGUUCAGACUCAAGAAUAUACACUGGGCCCUAGAAUAAAUAAUUGAUGAUCUUAAAAAGAGCAUAUCUACAAUGGAGGUGGCUCCGAAAUACCAGAGCUGGUUUACCACAGUUUAAAUGAAAUCACUUCAUCUGAUGGCUGUGUGGGAAAUGCUGGAGUCCUGUCUCACCUCCGUGGGUCUACCUACUUACCCAGUAUUUCCUCAACUAUAAUGGGCAUAGGGAUCACUCUGAAGGGAAAAAAAAAGGCCCUCGUGGAUGUUGAAAGCAUCUUUUUCAUUAAAGUCAAUGCCAAAGUUCUCCAAGGCAAGCCAAAGCAGCAACUGAGGUAUAUGAUUAUGCAACAUCCUCAACAUGGAGACAGACAUUUUUAAAUUAACUCUGACUUCCUGGCCUAAUUCCCUCUCUUCUGGUAUCCAUACUGGUAAUUUGAAGCCUUGUAAUGUAACACUUUGUAGAGCUAGACUUUAAAGGGAGGGGACUCCUCUAGUUAGUGGUCUUUGCUUUAGCCAGAGAGUCAAAUAUGGCACAUGCUAGGAUUAGGAAUACUGAGCUUUCUCUGAUGUCUACAUUAUCAGCAAAAUUAAGGGUCAUGGUACAACCAUAGUUCCUGUCUUUUUAAACACCAUCUGAAAGAAGUUAGCCUUUACUAAUAAGUUGUAAAUCUGCCUAAAAUUGUCAUUUCCCAAGGGUACUCUGGCAAAUAAAUAUAUCUUAUCAAAAUAGUAAAUCUUUCACUGAGUACAGGAAUACCUUAUUAUAUUGCACUUCACUUUAUUGCACUUCACAAAUAUUAGGGACUUUUUCCAAAUUGAAGGUUUGUGGCAACCUUACAUCAAGUAAGUCUAUCAUUGCCAUUUUUACAACAGCACAUGCUCAAUUACUGUCUGUGUCAUAUUUUGGUAAUUUUCAAUAUUUCAUACAUUUUCAUUGUUUUUAUAUCUGUUAUAGUGACUAGUGAUCUUUGAUGUUGGUAUUGUAAUUGUUUUAAGGCCCCACAAACUGCACCUAUAUAACAUGGCAAAUUUAAUAAAUGAUAUAUAUCUUCUGACCAUUCCACCAACU